CGGCGGAGAAAAAAGCGGAUGACGGAAUAAAAGUGGACGGUGGGUUUCAAGCAGGCGGUUUGAUGCUGCAAAUUCUACUAAAUGAGCCGCCCAAAUCCAAGUCUGCUCUCAUCCUACAACGGCCUCACCGACAAAUAUCUGACUGGAUACUUUAAUAACGCACGGAUCAGACGGC